AGCCGCAUGACUUUUUUUUUCCUUUUACUGAAGGGAAUACUGGGAACACAAAUAAAAACAGGUUUGUUUGCCUUAACAAGGCAAGUAAACUAAACCCGGCGCCUGCUGUUUCUGUUCAGUGCGCAGGCAGGAAACAGGCACCGCAACAGCUUGUCUGAACACCACCUGUUCGACGGAAUGUCCCUGUGAACCGACCCCAUGGCGGAGGCUUCCGGCGACGCGCGGGUGGUCCCGGAGGGCGUUUCCGGCGCGGCGUGCAGGAUUAACGCCCUCCCCAGCGACGUCCUCACCCGCGCCAUCUCCUUCCUGGACGCACGCCAGCUGGUGCAAACGUGCGUGCUGUCGACGCGGUGACGUCCGGCUGGAGAUGGAACAGAAUUUGCAAUGGUGCCCAACAUUCAACAAUCUUACUACCCUGACGCUUGGUGGCUGGUGUCGGUAUAAAGACUUUGAUCCACUGAUAGUUUUCCUUUGGAACUCACCUAAUCUGGAGCAGUUUACUUUGGAACUUAGCAAGAACAUGAUGGUAUAUUCCUGCUUCUGUCCACAUGUUCACUACUCCUUGUACGAAAGUUGAUGCCUUUGCCAUCAGGUUAAAACUCGUAUGCUUUUCAUGUUGUAGUUCAAUCUAGACCAAAGAUUCACCGGCAUUCGGGAAGAAAGAUCAUUUACUUGUCAGCACCUUGUGAUGGUUAAUAUUGUUUUUAUAAUUUUUGGCUCAGACUCAAAGGGUUCGAAGGGAUCCUAUGCUAAAUGGCCUGCUGGAACUUUUGCAUGAUAAUGGCGUACCCCAUGAUCAGAUUGUCAUCAAGAACAAAAAAACACAUCUUUCCUUCAAUUGUGGGUCAGAUUUUAAAGAAUUGACAAAAUCUUUCCUUCAAUUGUGGAUGUGGUAACAUGAUGCAUGUUCUGGUAAAAAAAUGUUACCAAGACAUGUUUGCCGGACCAACUAUGUUAGAGGUUUGAAGAACCUUUUAUUUGUAUUUGGUGAAGUUGUUCUGUUGACUAGAAUUCCUAUAACCAAGCUAUGGCAAACGUCUAUGGAUAUAUCAUAUGUGAA